GACAGAGGGUGCAAACGUUGUUCGGAAUUACUGGGCGUAAAGGGCUCGUAGGCGGCCAACUAAGUCAGACGUGAAAUCCCUCGGCUUAACCGGGGAACUGCGUCUGAUACUGGAUGGCUUGAGGUUGGGAGAGGGAUGCGGAAUUCCAGGUGUAGCGGUGAAAUGCGUAGAUAUCUGGAGGAACACCGGUGGCGAAGGCGGCAUCCUGGACCAAUUCUGACGCUGAGGAGCGAAAGCCAGGGGAGCAAACGGG
rnacentral:rRNA from 1 species